AGCCUAGAGAGUUAGAAUUUUAGGUGAGACCUGCCCAAUGCUUAUAGUCAAUGGCCGCAGUACCCUGACUGUGCUAAGGUAGCGUAAUAAGUUGGCUUUUAAAUGGAGUCGUGUAUGAAUGGAUUUACGGGGUUAAUCUGUCUCCUUCGAGUUCUGUUGAAUUUUUCUAAUAGGGUGAAAAUGCCCUUGUUUUAGAUAAAGGACGAUAAGACCCUUGGAGUUUUUACUAAUAGGUUUUAUUGACCCUUGUGUUUUUGCUGGGGCGGCAUAGAGGUAAAGUUUAACCCUCUUUUAUUUAUAAGCCGAUCGUUUUAAGAAAAUUUAAACUACCCGAGGGAUAACAGCAUUAUUCUUGAUAGAGUUUGUGACCUCGAUGUUGGACUAGGGAUUAGCUGGGCUAGCCGCCUAGAUUUAUGGUUCUGUUCGAACCAAACCCCCU
rnacentral:rRNA from 1 species